UGCCUACGGGAGGCUGCAGUGGGGAAUAUUGCACAAUGGGCGAAAGCCUGAUGCAGCAACGCCGCGUGAGCGAAGAAGGCCUUUGGGUCGUAAAGCUCUGUCGGGAAGGAAGAUAAUGACGGUACUUCCCGAGGAAGCCCCGGCUAACUACGUGCCAGCAGCCGCGGUAAUACGUAGGGGGCGAGCGUUAUCCGGAAUUCCUGGGCGUAAAGAGUGCGUCGGUGGUUGCUUAAGCGGUGGGUGAAAGGCAAUGGCUUAACCAUUGUGAGCCUCGCGAACUGGGCGACUUGAGUGCAGGAGAGGAAAGCGGAAUUCCUAGUGUAGCGGUGAAAUGCGUAGAUAUUAGGAGGAACACCAGUGGCGAAGGCGGCUUUCUGGACUGUAACUGACACUGAGGCACGAAAGCGUGGGGAGCAAACAGGAUUAGAUACCCUUGUAGUCGG
rnacentral:rRNA from 1 species